rnacentral:lncRNA from 1 species
CAGCUCCAUGGACAGGAAAUGAAGCCACGAACAACCAGAGCGAUCUUGCAAAUUUGCGACCCAGCAAAGCAAUCGCUCAACGGUAAGACUUUUGGAACCUGGCGCGGGCUCCACGACCACCGAACUUCUUGGGCUCGCAGCGCCUGGGGUCGGCGACGAGGAGUGUGCGGUCGUAGCGAGAGAAGAUGUCCUUGACCUCCUUCUUGGCGGCCUCGUCGACGUACUUCUGGUAGUAGGCGACGAGCCCCUUGGCGACGGCCUGGCGGAUGGCGUAGAUCUGCGACGUCUUCC